CAGACCAUUUGGGACAUUGAAAUCCUGUGCCAGUGUGAACAGAGCGCGAGCGUUCAGUUGUGGAGGCUACAGCUUGUGGGUGGACAGACAUCAGGCACACCCCACGAGAAGUAGUGCAUGAUCAACACCACCCUCAGCAAGGAGAUCUGCUCUCUCACCCUCUCACUCUGGGGGCAUCUGCGGACAGCUGUUUGGGAACCUGCAGGUUCUGAACAUGGUGGUGGAGGACAGGGUGUACUGGUACCUGAAGGGGAUGGGCAAUGAGGUGGACAUCCACACUGCCUACUUCCAUGGAUGCAUUGACCAGGGCAGUAAUUAAGUGGUAACACUCCCGGCACUUGUCGAAUAAAAAUCUCCCCACUGGAGACCAGGGUUCAAUCUCUGCAGUCACAGUUUCACCCACCUGCCUGUAUCCUCUUCUGAUUUCUAUACGGUCUCAAUGAAUAAAAGGUAAGGUCCUAUAUGUGACAAGUUUUAAAAAAAUAAUUAGGUGAGGUAAACCUUUCCUGAAAUAUGCAUGAUAUGCCUUAUAUAUGUUUUCUUCAAGCUGGUUACUUACCUGUUUUUUUUUAAAUAUAUAAAAUCAAAUAAAACUUAGGGUCACAUAUAGGAACUUACCUUUUGUUCAUUGAGACCUUUUAGUCAUUGGGACCCACAGGGUUUGCAGACUUUUAUUCUAGCCCAGGAAUAACAAUGAAUCUGAAUUUCUCUCGUCCGGUGUUCCCCAGCUUAGUGGAAGGUCCUACCGGACAGUCAUGUUUCACCUAUCCUCAGCCACCUUCCAGACGGUGAAGAUGAAGCCUCAGUACCCUGGCUCCUGGUUGCUGCACUUCCACAUCAUGGCUGGUAUGGAGACCAUCUACACCACCAUUGAGAAAGGUGAGGAGUGUGUGAGUUCACUAUGUGAAGAGCGGUGUUACCUUAGCGUGUGUGUGUGUGUCUGUUUAUUUAAUCAUUUUGCUGUUACUCCUACUUGUGAAUGCUCAU